GCGAGUAGCAGAACCGAGCUAAGAUUGAUCUUUUGCUAUAAAAAAACGAUUCCUACCGAGACCGGCAAGAGAAAUUGAUUACCCAACUGGUUCCAAUGGUCUGCAUCGACUGUUCUUCCUCCUCCGCCACCGCUCGGCUCCUCCCAAUGAGCCACCAACACGUUGCUCUUCGCCGCUUCCUACGCGGCCCUCUCUAUUUGCGACCUCCUUGCUGUAGCUUUCCCAGAACGUUCAAAACCCUCACUGUUCACUCUUCGGCUUCGCCGUCACCUGUUCUCGCCGCAUCAAUCGCCCCUGAGGCAUCAGCUAAAGUAAUUGAUGGAAAAUCAGUUGCAAAGCAAAUCAGGGAUGAGAUAACUACUGAAGUAUCCCGGAUGAAGGAUGCAAUCGGUGUUAUUCCAGGAUUAGCAGUUAUCCUUGUCGGGGAUAGAAAGGACUCUGCAACUUAUGUUCGCAAUAAAAAGAAAUCGUGUGAGUCGGUGGGGAUCAAUUCUUAUGAAGUACGCUUGCCGGAGGGUUCUACAGAACAAGAAUUACUCAAGUUUAUCUCAGACUUCAAUGAUGAUCCUUCAGUUCAUGGAAUCCUUGUUCAGUUACCUCUGCCUUCUCAUAUGAAUGAGCAGAACAUCUUAAAUGCUGUUUGCAUUGAGAAAGAUGUUGAUGGAUUUCACCCACUGAACAUUGGUCGUCUAGCCAUGCGAGGUAGAGAACCCACUUUUGUUCCAUGCACACCAAAAGGAUGCAUAGAAUUGUUGCAUAGAUAUGGAAUUAAUAUCAAAGGAAAGAGGGCGGUUGUAAUUGGCAGGAGCAAUAUUGUUGGCAUGCCAGCUGCUCUAUUGCUGCAAAGGGAAGAUGCUACCGUCAGCAUAGUCCACUCAAGAACCAAGAACCCUGAGGAGUUUACAAGACAGGCAGAUAUUAUUAUAUCAGCUGUAGGCCAGCCAAAUAUGGUUAGGGGCAGCUGGAUAAAGCCUGGUGCGGUGAUCAUUGAUGUUGGAAUUAAUCCAGUCGAGGAUUCAAAAAGUCCUCGAGGUUACCGUUUGGUUGGAGAUGUCUGUUAUGAGGAGGCCACCAAAAUUGCAUCAGCUAUUACUCCAGUUCCUGGUGGAGUGGGUCCAAUGACAAUAGCUAUGCUUCUUUCGAAUACUUUCAUCUCGGCGAAGAGGAUUCACAACUUCCAGUGAAAUUUUCAGAAUCACUGUUGCAAGGAGUUUCGUAAGAUGCUUGUUUCACCAGUUCCAUUCGCUUUUCAUCUACCAUGGGUUGCAUCCUCAGUCUGGCCUUGUAGAUUGCACUUCAGCAAGGGUAGUACGCAGCCGCAAAAGCUUCGGCAACCUACGGCAGAGUAAUGCAUGUUUAAUGUAAAAAAAGGUUCCCUAAAUAUAUAUAACAGCUCGUAGCUAUCUAUAUGCAGUAUUAUGUAUCUCGCCAAAAGCAGAAUCCAUAUUUAGAAGAUCAUUUCUUGACCAUGUUAGGCUUUUGUGGCAAGGACA